rnacentral:rRNA from 1 species
GACAGAGGGUGCAAACGUUGUUCGGAAUUACUGGGCGUAAAGCGCGUGUAGGCGGCUCUGCAAGUCGGAUGUGAAAGCCCACGGCUCAACCGUGGAAGUGCAUUCGAAACUGCAGGGCUAGAGUCCUGGAGAGGAAGGUGGAAUGCUUGGUGUAGAGGUGAAAUUCGUAGAUAUCAAGCGGAACACCGGUGGCGAAGGCGGCCUUCUGGACAGUGACUGACGCUGAGACGCGAAAGCGUGGGGAGCAAACAGG